ACUAAACGAAAGCAGUGAUUCGAGCUCGGGAAUAAAAAGUGAAAAAGAUUAGGGGGUACAGGGGGAAGAAGCCCUGUGGGGGAGGAGGGGGAGGUGACCAGGGGAUGUACUUAAUGAAAGAUGAGUACUGAAGGGUUUCCUACCUGAUAGUUGCCGCGCCUUAUGUUGAAUGUGCGGCCGAUUAUUUAGUUGUUGGGGUAACGGCCUCCAUUUUCGUUUUUGGUCCGGGUUGUGGGAGUAGAUUCCGGACUUGGAACCUGAGAUUCGAGGCGGGCGUUUUCCCCCCAACCCCAUUUCAAAACUUUACAUGCAGGAACCUUCUUUUUUUGGAAGCCCGAGGGGGCGGCUGCCCCCCCCCGGCCCAGUGUUCCAACUCAUCCCCACCAAAUGGCGGGGGGAAGAGGGGGGACCCCCCUCUGCGAAAUUACCGGCGGCUUCGGGUGGUCCCCCAAGGAUUAGGGAAUUUUAAGUUUUACCCCUGAAAUUUCUUCUUACCUUUGCGGAGUCCCCAGAUUUCAAGGUAUCUCUGAGAAAACAAAAAGUGAAACCGUGGGAAUCCGCCAAAAGAUUAAAAAUCCUCCUGGGGAAGCUUUUAAUCUAGUAAAACUGGUCAGCACCUCCAGGUGGCGGGAGUUUCCUUCCGCAAAGGGCUCUCGAUAUUGGCCGAGCCCAUUUUUGGGGGAGGGAAUUAAAAUUCGAGAAAGGGGGGGUUUAAGGCAAAUAAGGCUCCUUAUAGCAGGUUCCUGACAUUAAAAAUUUUUGGGGUCGUAGAGAAUAAAGGAGAACGCGGCCACGUGUGU
rnacentral:rRNA from 1 species